UAAAGCGGGUGAAAAGCCCGCUCGCCGGAAGACCAAGGGUUCCUGUCCAACGUUAAUCGGGGCAGGGUGAGUCGACCCCUAAGGCGAGGCCGAAAGGCGUAGUCGAUGGGAAACGGGUUAAUAUUCCCGUACUUGGUGUUACUGCGAAGGGGGGACGGAGAAGGCUAUGUUGGCCGGGCGACGGUUGUCCCGGUUUAAGCGUGUAGGUGUGUGUUCCAGGUAAAUCCGGUU
rnacentral:rRNA from 1 species